rnacentral:lncRNA from 1 species
AGUCUGCGGGGCCCAGCGGGUCGGGGCAGGCCAGUGCUGGGUGGGGGCCGUGACUGGCCUGCGCUUUCCCCUGGGCGCACCCCAUUCUCGCACAGUCAGCCUAGCCCGUGCGGCUCCCUCCCUCUCCCUCCAGGAUAAGCCUCUUCCUGCAUCUCUUCACCAAAGUCCCAGGGCCCUCUCCUUAGAAUCUGAGAAAUCAUGGCUCUCCAAGGCUGGGGAGCAGCAGGAGCGUGGGGAGCGUGCAUGGGGGCUUGUGCAGAUGAGCGCCUGGCUCCAUCCACCCAAACCAGCAAGGUAUGUUAAGCUACUGCGACAGAUACAGCGAAGGCAUAAAACAUGUCCUACAGACUUUUGGACCCAUUCCAGAGUUUUCCAGGGCCACUGCUGAGAAGGUUAACCAGGACAUGUGCAUGAAGGUCCCUGAUGACCCGGAGCACUUAGCUGCCAGGAGGCAGUGGAGGGACGAGUGCCUCAUGAGACUCGCCAAGUUGAAGAGUCAAGUGCAGCCCCAGUGAAUUUCUUGUAAUGCAGCUUCCACUCCUCUCAUUGGAGGCCCUAUUUGGGAACACUGCAAGCCCUUAAUCAGCCCUCUGUGACAUAGGUAGCAGCCCACGGAGAUCCUAAGCUGGCUGUCUUGUGUGCAGCCUGAGUGGGGUGGUGCAGGCCGGUAGUCUGCCCGUCACUUUGGAUCAUAGCCCUGGGCCUGGCGGCACAGCAGCACUUGCGUUCUCGGGGCUGUCGAUUUCCUGCCACCUGGGCAGAUAACCUGGAGAUUUUCACCUUUUCUUUUCAGCUUGAUUGCAUUUGACUAUAUUUUACAGCCAGUGAUUGUAGUUUCAUGUUAAUAUGUGGCAAAAUAUUUUUGUAAUUAUUUUCUAAUCCCUUUCUGAGUACUCUGGGGCCCUGCAUUUAUGAGGCACCUACCUUCAUUUUGCUAACGCUUAUUCUGAAUAAAAGUUUUUGAUUCC